GCAGAUAUUUCUGUACACUUUUUGCAAACUGUCGGGAGAAAAUUAAGAAAAGGACCUUUGAGAAUACAGACUUCCAGACUUUAUUGGAACAACACGUGCUAAAAGACACUACUGACGGCAGAUGCAAGAAAGCCAUACAGCGUGAAGCAACAGCCACUCAAGGAGAGAUCACUAAGCAGGAAAGAUGCCAUUGCAAGAACUAAGUGGUUACAGGAACACAGUUCUGCAAGAAAAUGGAGAAACAAAAAUGUUUACUAUUGGAAGGAGAACCCCCAGAGAAACAGCAAUACAAGAAGCUUGACAUCAAAAUAGCAUAAUGUUUUGAUUACUGUGUUGUUUGAACUGUACCAAAAGCCAAUUGGAAUUGAUGAUCAGACAAAGGAUUUACCACAGAAGACAUUGUUAUUGCAUAAGAUAAGAGAAGUUCGGGUGGAUCGACUCCUGACAUCGGACAUUGAUACGUCAAGAGACAUUGUUGGACAAAUUAGAUUCAUUAUAAUUUAAGAUAUACAGAUUUUGUAUUUGAU